UUAACCCAAUAUAUUUUAAUUUUAUUGUUAUAAAAUAAUCGAUAGUGUGUGCACGAAGUGACGAAUUCUGCGAUUAUUUCUGGACAUUGUGAAUUUAAGACAGAAUUCAGUAUCUACAGUUUAUUUUCUAUUCAUUCAUUCGUUUGGUCUUGACAUGGGUGUGGAUAUAUGUGUAAACCACGCCUCGCUGACACAAGAUUUGGGAACCAUUCGCCUGAAGAAAAAAAAAAAGGAAUUGCACUCAUGAUACUAGUAUGCGAUCGCGGCCAUGACACUGCUCAAGUCCGUAAUAGGAGUUAUUAUCCUUUGCGAGCAUACCUAAUUAUUAUCUUGUGUCGUUUCCACGUUGCAACAAGUGCUAUUAAAGGACAGAACUGGAGAACUGUUCAUUCGAUUCGUGAGUUGCAGUGGGGAUGGAUUAUACAUUUCGUGUGUACAAGAUUAAAGCCGGAGAAUAGACAGACUAUCCUACUUAGAGGUGUAGGUCCUCCGAGAAUAGACAGACUAUCCUACUUAGAGGUAUAGGUCCUCGGAGAAUAGACAGACUAUCCUACUUAGAGGUAUAGGUCCUCGGAGAAUAGACAGACUCUCCUACCUAGAGGUAUAGGUCCUCCGAGAAUAGACAGACUAUCCUACUUAGAGGUAUAGGUCCUCGGAGAAUAGACAGACUAUCCUACAUAGAUGGAGGUAAAAGUCCCAGGAGAAUUUCCCGCUUCUUUAAGCUAUUAAUGUAUAUGUAUGAUUGAUUGAUGUUUUCCGCCACACUCAACAAUUUUCAGUUAUCUGGUGGCGCCCAGUUUUUAUUGGUGGAAGAGAGAACCCAGAUACAAUGUACCUGGGAAGAGACCACCGACCUUUCGAAAGUAAACUGGGAAACUUUCUCACUUACUGGGGCGCGAACGGGAUUCGAACCCGCGCCGACAGAGGUGAUUAACGUAUAUGUAUGAUUAUUCAGAAAAACAACCAUGUUGUAUCUGUUUACAAUAUGUGGUAACAAAAUACAUGUUUAUAUAUAUAUAUAUAUAUGAUCCAAAUAGAAAGAGUUGAUAUCACACAGUCAAAAUAAUUCAAUAAAAAAAGCAGGAAAAUAUACAGUUCCAAAAUAUAUUUAAAUAUAUUUAAAUUCUUAAGAAAGCGCUAGUGAUUUAAAUAUAUUUUGGAACUGUAUAUUUUCCUGCUUUUUUUAUUGAAUUAUAUAUAUAUAUAUAUAUAUAUAUACAUGGAUAUAUAUUAUUAUUAUUAUCAUAUGUAUGAGCUUUUGUUUUGCCAUGGUAUUUUCAAUCAAUACUAUAUUAUAGUAUGCAUGCGUGUUAUAAUUCUUUAUGCGGUUUUCACUUUUUUCAGAUUUAUUUAUAUUGAUGAUUUAUAUAAUUUGGUGGCAAAAGCAGGUUGUUGAGUAUUUCGUUCUUGUUAUGUUUCUAAUAAACUUUUAAUAUGCGAUU